rnacentral:piRNA from 1 species
UGCACAAGGUACAGAGAGCGGGGAC